rnacentral:misc_RNA from 1 species
AAGCUAACUAAUUUAUCAGUUGGUAACUAGUUUACCAACUGAUUUUUCAAUUUUUUUUAUAAAAAUUCGUUUCCAAACGUUAAAAACCAAUUGAAUUUUUAGUUCAUUUGGUAAAAAUUACACUACAAUUAUAGUGUAACAAAAGCAAAUUAAUUUUAAA